CAUUAUGGCAGGUCGGCGGGCCAGCUUCGGCUGGGCCGUUUCUGUUUUGACGGUUGUGGUAACCCGCUCGGCCUGCCCCCAAA
rfam:Gynuella sunshinyii YC6258, complete genome.